GGCGUAUAUGGCCCAGUGGUUCUAGGGGGAGGAUUGUGA
rnacentral:tRNA from 1 species